rnacentral:lncRNA from 1 species
UCAAUCAUGUAAAACAUGUAACAUUCACAUGUAAAUUAUUCAACAACAUAAAACAUCCAUCCCGAUGUGACAUCUAUCAGAGCACGACCCACUAAGGAGACUACACUAGACUCCAAGCAUUCGCUUCUACUCAACUCAUUUCUCGUUACCUGAAAAAUAGUUGUAAGGGUGAGUUCCUCAAUCAAUAUAAUAAGCAUUAUAGAAUAUAAUGUCAUGUUAAGCAAUUUAACACAUUAAUCACCCUAAUCGCAACAUACAAUCAGUAACAACACAUCAGCUCAACCUCAUAC